GGCAACAUAGAACGUAAGAACAAAGAACGUAAAUAAAGCACCACUGUGCGACAAUGCACAGAUAUGGAAAUUAGUUGCACCUUUUUGCAGCUACGUGGCGAUAGUGUUUCGAGAUCUAUAAAUCGAUCAAAUUUUUAUUUCGAAAAAGGAUCGACGAAAAUAACCUAAUAUUUAUGAAUGAAAGUGUACAUAUCACAACCAGGUUAUGUAGAGAAAUAUGUUUAAGCGAUCGAUACCUGUAUCGUUUAAUGACAAUUAAUUAAUCGAUUCAGAUAAUCUUCAUUAAGACAUCGAUAAGAUAAGCUUUGGUAAGAUUUCGAUAAGCUAUGUCUUUCUCUGGACUUUGUUGUGAAAGGAAAUAUUUAAUUGACUCGUAUAAAGGAAUUAAGUUAAUUUAAAUAUACUUUGUGUCAUAACAAUUAAUUAAUUAAUCGAUAUAAGCUCUAUUAAGUCUUCAAUAAGAUGUUCUCGUGAAAAGAAAUACUUAAUCACGCCAUGUAAAGGCAUAAGACCCAUAGAAGCAUAAAGGCACGAUGAACCGAGAGCGUGGAGUAGAAGUCGGAGAUUAACGACGCGAAGGAAAAGCCGUGUUUCCAAAUGACUGCGUUGCAACGGGGAUUUACUACAUUUGCUGCAUCUAUAAUUAUAGGUAAUAAAGUCAGAGACGUGGAAACCAGAGCAGCAUCGGACUGUUGCACGAAAAUGUUCGUUAUCGAGGCGGCUGCAAAAAUUGCUUCCAGAAACUCGUGGCUGCGCCUCUUUCCGAGUAUAAACCUACCGAUUUCUCGCACCAUUUUAAUACCAACGCUUCCUAAUAGGAGAGCUCGCGUUAUUAUCGAAAGUCAAACUUUCUCGAGCGUCUUUACUUGUUUCGUUGAAUAGAAACUACGUAACAGGGAAUUCUUAAUUGAAUUAAAAAUUAAAAUUUCCCGCGUCAUCAAUUAGCGUAAAAUGAAAGUCUGUGGCUCUUCCAUCUGAUCCUGAUUAUUGCUUCUUCUUAUCUUUGCUAAAUAUAGUUUAUGCUCGUGCAAACUAAUGCAAUUAGCUUCGCUCUUUGAAUGACUCGCUUCUUGAGGAUGACAUAUAAAUAAUAACAACUUCUAGGGUGAACUGAAGAAAUGGUGUUCGUGAAAAAUCAGAAUUUAAUUGUAUUGUUUAUAAAAUUCUUCUGACAAUACGGAAUAUAUGGAUUAUUUAUAAGCCACGGUUUCGAACGAGAUAACAAUCAAAAGAUAAUAAUCUAUUGGUUAUAACCACUAUUAGUAUAGCCAUUGUUAGACAUAAAUAUCCAACGAUCUGCUUUCCAAAUUUAUCUCGCUGUCACGAAGAUCUCAACGGAGGAAUAAAAAUUAUUGUAAAAUACGAAAAUAGAGGAGAAUUCAAAACAUCAAAAUUUCCGAUUAUAUCCAUUCAUUGGUCUCCAAUGGCAUAGCUCAUGAUUAUUCGAGCGGUGCUAGAAAAUGUCACGAACAUAUGGGGAACGAUUAUUUAGAAGGAACGACACAAUGAAAGAAGUCAGCUUAUUUUUUAUUCACCAUCCCCACAGGGACAAUUCUCUGUCGAUAUUUAUCGAGCAUGUUUCUUACGACGUAGAAAAAGUCACGAUUAAAAUUAUUGUUCUUAGAAAAGGAAUUCCCUGACGGGGAAGCAGAUAAAUGUUUUUGCAAGGGUCUCCACGGGAACCCGCGCGACCGUGUAAAAUUUUUAUUUUAAUCGUUUGUUUGUAGAUAAUUCCAACAUCGAAGAACACCGUCAUCGCGUGGCUUUUAUUUAUUAAUUAUUUAUUAAUAAUUCCACCGGGAGCAUCUUGUCUAAUUGACGCGAUAAUUAUUCAUACCGGUUGAAUUGUGUGAAAUUAUGAAAUUAUGCGAAACAUGAUCAUUUUUACGCAAUUAUUAAGAACUUUUUAUUCGUAAUAGUUUGACAAAGUACGAUGUAUAUAGGAUGAUUUGUUAAACGUUUUGAACUCUAGUACAUAUGAUCUUUGUUUUUCUUUCUUUUAAACGGUUUCCCAAUUUUGAGACGAAUCUUCAUUUAAUAUAUAGUUAAUUACAGCUUUUUCAUAUUAUUUUUUUCGCAGGUAGAAAAUUUCUUAACAGAAAAAUUGAGUUGGACUAAAGAUGGACCAAGAUUUCGUAUUAUUAUUUAAUUUAAAAAUAUCCAAGAGCAAAAAAUAUAGAAAGGUAAUAUAUUAUAUUCAAUAUUAAUCUCAUGUCAUCUUUUUCUUUUAUCAUAAUUGUUUCCUCUGAGGUCAAUCCAUCCGCAAGGGUUUGUGAUGAAAGCGUGUCGCGCUCGUGCAAACGAUUAAUUCUAUUCCCAGUGGUAUGAAACUUGCGGUGAGCUCCAUUAUUACAGCAAACAUAGUAUUUUCCACGGUGGAAAAUCCCUUAGGAGGUAUUUUUCACGGAACUAUGUAGGUACCAGAAACAUUAAUAAUUCAGAGAAAGCCAUCGUCGACUGCAACAUUUUUAACUAGGCUUUUAAAACGCUACUUGUAUCUCAAUAUUUUUCACGUUCAUAUUUUUCUAUAAAAAUUUGAUAAAAUUUGUCUCAGAAAUUAUAUUAUUCUAUCCUUACAGAUAAUUCAAUAAAUUCAAUAAUUAGAUCUAUUUAAAUUGCAUCGAGACUGCGAAUAGAAAUCUUGUAUGCAAAUUACUAUGAGUAGGUGGUCUUCUCAUUUCGUAUUCGAUAAUUCGAAGAAUGACAAACAAAUCAUUAGUGAAAUAUUCGAUAUCGUCAGACUAGCGAUGUUUCAGUGAAUCGACCAAAUUUCACUUUUCAGAGAGCCUUAAUUUCCAUAAAAGGAAAUUCUGAAGCUUGACAUCGAUUUCAAGGUGCAUUUCUCAAAGAUGGGGCUUCGGAAACCCUUGAAUAUACCUGUCUAAUGAAAUGUAACAGAAAUCUACACAAUAUUAGGGUGAAAAUCAUGAGGUUAACGUGGUUGUUUUGUUAUGCUAAUAUAACGUGGCUUGACAUCGUGUUUCAAUUGAUUUUUCUUCGCGGACUGAGGAUAUUAUCGAAUAAUAAGAUCAAUAUCAGGCAAUGAUUAUUUCGAUUUGUAUCCACUGCAUGCCAUCCUGUGCAACGUAGCAAAUUGGAAAAGCACUUUACUAGAAAAUUCGUGGAAAGCAUCGAGCUAGGAUUGAAAAUCAAUGCGCUGGUUUAUUGCUCACUCCAAUUUCGAUGCGUCUUCUUCGAGGAAUCCAAUGAUCUUUGUAAUAACCACGGAGUCUGUUCUCGCGAAAUUCGUGGUUUUCCCUGUCAUGACCAUACUAGGACUAUGCUCGAACUUAUCUUGGUACCAUAACCGAGGUUUAUGCGCCUCCGUUACCUCGCCAGCUCCCGCAUUCGUGAUACUUGCUCGCUGACUGCGCUUCAUAACAGAGACGAUGCGUUUUACUAUUAUUGGUUCUAUUUUUUGCUUUUCCUCUCUUCUUUUUUAAACUAUCAAGUUCCAAGAACAACUAAAAAAUAGUCUCGUUAUCGUUAACAUAUCAAUAUUCGUUACAGCAAUACUUAUGUACAAUUUGAUCUCGAUGUAAUCUGUAUGUGGAUAUUUUUUGGAAAUUUAGACAGUUUCUAAAAUCGUUGGAACCAUAUAUAGAGUAGAUAGAGAAAGAUGAGAAAAUGAAUACAGCGUUUUUCAACUUUUACCUAAAAUAUUGAAAUAUGUAAGCGUACUUUGUAUUCU